AUAUAAUAAUUUAAAAUUAAAUUUAUUUUUGCCAUUUUGAAAAAAAAAUUUUUAUGUUAUAGUAAUUAUAAAAGAAAUAAUAAUUUAUAUUAACUGAUAAGGAAAGAUUUUUUUUAUAAUUUUAAGUAAAUAAAUUUAUUGUACCUUUUGUAUCAGGGUUAAUUAAAAGUAAUUAAGAAUUUAUUUUUCCCGAAAUAUAAUGAUUUAGUUUAAUUUGUUAGUUAUUAUAGUAUAUAUAUUAAUAAAUUUAUUCUGGAAAUGAAAUUUUAUCGAAUUAUAUGAUAUCUGGUUUCUUGGGAAUUGAAUUAAAUUCAGAAAAAAUAUUAUAAUUAAUAUUUAAUUAUUAAAUUUUAUAUUUUUUUAAACUUAUUAAGGAUAAGCUAAUUAUGUAUUCUAUAAUUAAUUUUUAAUAAAUUAAUUUAAUAGGCUUGAAAAUAGCCAUAAAUAGAUUAAGUUAUAUUUUAUUUUUUUAUACAAUAUAUUUAAUUAAUUUUAGAUUAAUACCAAGAAAUUAAAUUCAAUAAUUUUUUUUAAGUUAAAAUGAUUAAAUUAGUAUAAUAUUAUUAAUAAUGUUUAUAAUUUAGGCAAAAAAAAUUUCCACCUGUUUAUCAAAAACAUGUCUUUUAGUAAGAAUUAAAAGUCUAAUCUGCCCAAUGAUUUGUAAUUAAAUGGCCGCGGUAAAUUGACCGUGCAAAGGUAGCAUAAUAAAUAGUCUUUUAAUUGAAGGCUUGAAUGAAUGAUUGGAUGAGAAAUUGGCUUAAUUAAUAUUAAUAAUUGAAAUUAAUUUUUAAGUAAAAAAGCUUAAAUAAAUAAGUGGGACGAGAAGACCCUAUAGAAUUUUUAAAAUUUUCUUUAAAUUUAUUUAUUUUAGUUAAUUAAUUUUUUAUUAUUUAAAUAAUUUUUUUGUUGGGGUGACAUUAAAACAAAAUUAACUUUUAAUUAAAAUUUCAUAAAUAUAUGUGAAUAUUGAUCCAAAUUUUUGAUUAAAAGAAUAAAUUACCUUAGGGAUAACAGCGUUAUUAAUUUGAAGAGUUCUUAUCGAUAAAUAAGAUUGCGACCUCGAUGUUGGAUUAAAAAUAGAAAUUGGAGCAAAAUUUUUUAUUUCUGGGUCUGUUCGACCCUUAAUAUUUUACAUGAUCUGAGUUCAAACCGGCGUGAGCCAGGUUGGUUUCUAUCUACUUAAUUAUUUUUUAAUGUUAGUACGAAAGGACCACAUUAAAUAAUUUUAUUAU
rnacentral:rRNA from 1 species